rnacentral:lncRNA from 1 species
UUGUGUGAAGCCAUUUUAAUUGACUUUGUGAGUUUGACUUGUGUUUUUGGGCCUUGGUCAAGGUUGAUUUGACUUUGCUAGGUUAAGAUCAUUGGAUUUAGGGGAUUGAUGGAAUGUACAUUCCAUCUCCCAAAAUGAAUGAAUGAUCUUAAUAUUGGGCCUUGGUCAAGGUUGAUUUGACUUUGCUAGGUUAAGAUCAUUGGAUUUAGGGGAUUGAUGGAAUGUACAUUCCAUCUCCCAAAAUGAAUGAAUGAUCUUAAUUUGGUAAAAGUCAUCCUUUGACCAAUUUGUGUUUGAUCCAUUCCCCCUUCCUCUUCGUCUCAUUCCCCUUCUUUAUCCAUU